GGGGUAUUAGUAUAAUCUGGCAGUACUUGCCGUUUGGGACGGUAAAAUCUAGGUUCAAAUCCUAGAUACCCCACCA
rnacentral:tRNA from 1 species